GGAUAAGGAAAGUAAAUAAGGGCGCAUGGCGGAUGCCUUGGCUCUCGGAGGCGAUGAAGGACGUGAUAAGCUGCGAUAAGCUUUGGGGAGGUGCAAAUGACCUUUGAUCCAGAGAUUUCCGAAUGGGACAACCCAAUAUCUUGAAGAGGUAUUAUCCAACGUUGUUGGAGGCUAACGCAGGGAACUGAAACAUCUUAGUACCUGCAGGAAAAGAAAAUAAACAAUGAUUCCCCCAGUAGUGGCGAGCGAACGGGGAACAGCCCAAACCAUCCAUGUUACGGCAUGGGUGGGGUUGUAGGACUACGCCGUUGCAUGAAGACAUCAGAGAAGAACUUUCUGGAAAGAAAGACCAUAGAGCAUGACAGUUGCGUAUUCGAAUGUUGUCGAAGCAUAGUAGUAUCCUGAGUAGCGCGGAGCACGAGGAAUUCUGCGUGAAUCUGCCGGGACCAUCCGGUAAGGCUAAAUACUCCCGAGAGACCGAUAGCGAACCAGUACCGUGAGGGAAAGGUGAAAAGCACUUCGAACAGAAGAGUGAAAUAGUUCCUGAAACCGUGCGCCUACAAGCGGUCGGAGCUCGUUAAUGAGUGACGGCGUGCCUUUUGCAUAAUGAACCUACGAGUUGCCUUUGCCGGCAAGGUUAAGUGUGACGACACACGUAUCCGAAGCGAAAGCGAGUCUGAACAGGGCGUAUAGUCGGCAGUGGCAGACGCGAAACCAAGUGAUCUACCCUUGGCCAGGUUGAAGGCUGGGUAACAC
rnacentral:rRNA from 1 species